rnacentral:rRNA from 1 species
GUCAUAUGCUUGUCUCAAAGAUUAAGCCAUGCAUGUCUCAGUACAAGCCAAAUUAAGGUGAAACCGCGAAAGGCUCAUUAAAUCAGUUAUGGUUCCUUAGAUCGUACCCACAAUUACUUGGAUAACUGUGGUAAUUCUAGAGCUAAUACAUGCAAACAGAGCUCCGACCGGAGACGGAAGGAGUGCUUUUAUUAGAUCAAAACCAAUCGGUGGCGGGUUCGCGCUCGUUAUCGUACAACUUGGUGACUCUGAAUAACUUUACGCUGAUCGCACGGUCAUCGCACCGGCGACGCGUCUUUCAAAUGUCUGCCUUAUCAACUGUCGAUGGUAGGUUCUGCGCCUACCAUGGUUGUAACGGGUAACGGGGAAUCAGGGUUCGAUUCCGGAGAGGGAGCCUGAGAAACGGCUACCACAUCCAAGGAAGGCAGCAGGCGCGCAAAUUACCCACUCCCGGCACGGGGAGGUAGUGACGAAAAAUAACGAUACGGGACUCAUCCGAGGCCCCGUAAUCGGAAUGAGUACACUCUAAACCCUUUAACGAGGAUCAAUUGGAGGGCAAGUCUGGUGCCAGCAGCCGCGGUAAUUCCAGCUCCAAUAGCGUAUAUUAAAGUUGUUGCGGUUAAAAAGCUCGUAGUCGAAUUUGUGUCUCGCGCCGCCGGUUCAUCGUCCGCGGUGUUAACUGGCGAGUCGCGAGACGUCCUGCCGGUGGGCUUAGCUCGCGAGGGCGGCCCAACUCAAUCCUGCCGCGGUGCUCUUCAUUGAGUGUCGAGGUGGGCCGGCACGUUUACUUUGAACAAAUUAGAGUGCUUAAAGCAGGCUAAAACUUCGCCUGAAUACUGUGUGCAUGGAAUAAUGGAAUAGGACCUCGGUUCUAUUUUGUUGGUUUUCGGAACCCCGAGGUAAUGAUUAAUAGGAACGGAUGGGGGCAUUCGUAUUGCGACGUUAGAGGUGAAAUUCUUGGAUCGUCGC